UUGUAGCUCAGCUGGAUAGAGCAUCGGCCUUCUAAGCCGAGGGUCCAGGGUUCGAAUCCCUGC
rnacentral:tRNA from 1 species